UCCCAUAUAUUAUUAAUAAGAUUUUCUCGCUCUGUAGUUAUAUAUUAUUGUAGUGGCCAUUCCUCAGAAUCAAGGAAAAAUGAUAGGGAAUCUAGGUCCAAAUUGGCGCUGUCCUCGAAACAGGCACUGGUGGCCCAAUCGUUGAACACAGGCGGCCCCUCCAUGGGUAGGGACCGGUGAUGAUCAUGACCCGAGGACAAAUUCUCCUCGUAAUUAUAGUCCACUGGGGCAGCAUCUCCAUCGCUUGCUUGAAAUUCAUGGCAAUCAAGAUUCAAGAAAUCUAAAUCAUCAUCAUGAUGGUAACUCUGG
rnacentral:misc_RNA from 1 species